GCCAUAUUCGUUGUCAUGUGCAUGCUGAAUGGAUCUUUCGCACUUUCUUUCCAAUCCGCGGCUAUCAUCGUCAAGAUAUCACAAAAAUGAUUUAGAUAUCAACAAUAAUCGUGCUGAUCUCACCGUUGAUGGGCCCAGAAAAUAAUCAAUUUAAAAAGUAACAGGCUGUAUGCCAAAGAACUGCUCAAAUUGUCCAUCACAUCCAUCAGUUCAUCGGUGCGAUAGUGCAACACAAUGUAAGCAUACUGACAAAUUUGAGCGACGAUUAACGUCGCAAGCCAGAACAAUCUGCGUAAAACGGAACACGAUACAUCGGGCCAGAUGCCGAAGAUACGAAGAACAAAUUUUAUAGAGAAGCAUAUCGUGUUCGUAGUUGUUAUUUUCAUUAUUGAGAAAAAGAAGAAUCAACGAUUAUAUUUAAUAAAGCCUGAACAUACUCGGCAGGCUCUGCACGUUUCUUUAACCAAGGAGUAUCGUAAAAUGACUCUUUCAAGAUUAAAACACAGAAAAAGCACAUAAGUUGACCGGGAAAACGAUUAAUCAUUAUAUAUUCACUUGGGUAUCAAACAUAAGACUCUCGAUUAUAACUAUAGAUGUAUAAUUAUAAAAUUGUAGGAAGAUAAAAAAAAUUUACUCUCUU